rnacentral:lncRNA from 10 species
CAAAAAAUAGCCAGGUGUGAUUGCGCACACCUGUGAUCCCAUCUACUUGAGAGGCUGAGGCAAGAAAAUCGCUUGAACCUGGGAGGUGGAAGUUGCAGUGAGCCGAGAUUGUGCCACUGCACUCCAGCCUGGGUGACAAAGCAAGACCUUGUCUCAAAAAAAAAAAAAAAAAAAAUAGUGCGCACUUUCACUCUCACAGGGGUCUUGGACAAUAUAUUAUUUAGUCAUUCUCCUUAAAAGCAGGAUUUUCUUCCUGAAUAUUUACUUGAUCCAACAUUUCCUCCCUCAGCUACUUCUUUUUCUGAAGCUCUGGCCUUCUUCCCAGCAUUUGCAUUUCUGUCAGUGCUUCUGACGCUCUUCCAUCUUCCAGAACCUGGAAGCCCCGGCAUCCUGUUGACGCCUCCCUCCCCAUCUCAUCUUAGCCAUGCAGAAUGGCGACACCAAGGUCAAAGGAACUGGACAUAACUCCUGACUGCAUCACUUACCAGCUCUGUGCCCCUGUUCACCUCUGGUCUCUGCCUCAGUGCUGUCAUUUGUAAAACAAUGAGAACAAUACAUUCCUUGAACAGCGUCACUGGAAGCAUAAAUAAGGCAGCUUCUGAAGGGCCACUGGGCAUUGUGCCUAACAAAACAAAUCUGACUUCUUAUUUAUGUAUUUAUUCAACACAUUUAUUGAGCACCUACUGUAUGCCAGGCACUGUUCUAGUUCCUGGGGAUACAUCCGUAAGCAAGACAGUCAAACACAUCUGUCCUCAUAGAACUCACAUCCCAGUGCAGAAAUCUGACAAUAAACAAAUAAAGAGCUCCUAGGUCAAGUAGUGAUAAGGGCUACAAAGAGAAAACCAGACAGGGUAAGGGGAACAGGGAGUGCCCAGGUGGAGAAGGGCUGCUACUUUAAAACGGUGGCUAAGGGUCACUAAUAAGAUGACAUUCAAGCAGACACUUAAAGGAGAAAAGAGGUAAAGGAAUUAUCUAGGCAGAUAUUUAUUUAUUUAUUUAUUUAUUUAUUUGAGACAGAGUCUCGCUCUGACACCCAGGCUGGAGUGCAGUGGCACGGUCUCUGCCCAUUGAAACCUCUGCCUCCUGGGUUCAAACAAUUUUCGUGCCUCAGCCUCCCGAGUAGCUGGAGCUACAGGCAUGCACCACCACACCUGAUUAAUUUUUGUAUCCUUAAUAGAGACAGGGUUUCGCCAUGUUUGCCAGGCUGGUCUCGAAUUCCUGGCCUCAAGUGAUCCACCCACUUGGGCCUCCCAAAGUGCUGCGAUUACAGGCGUGAGCCGCCACACUUAGCCUAGGCAGAUAUUUAAGAAGAACAGGCUUGGGAGGCCGAGGCGGGCGGAUCAUGAGGUCAGGAGAUCGAGAC